CCAGAACUUCUCCAAGCUCCGCCCUCAGCUAACCUCCUUUCCAACUCCUGUGCUUUCUCCUUAGUCAAAACCCCCCAUCUAAUCCGCGGUUGUCCCCGAGCACCCCUCCUCUUCCUCUUCACCCAGAGACCGACAUCCAUCACUACGAGUCUAUGAAGAGUCGAAAGGGACUCUCCCGGAAUCACCUUGCAGUCCUUGCACAUACCCCUAUCGCUCCUUCUGAGGAGGAGGUAAUCAAUCUGAGUCCUCGCAAUCAGAAAUGUCAAAUUCGCAAUCAGAAGCUCGGAAGCCCUGACGAAAUCAAGCAGUGACGUGCCUCCUCCGUUCCUAACCCCAAAGCCGAAGCCACCGUGCACCUCACCAUAUCCACCUGCACCAAUAUGACCAUUGAAGUCCCCUCCAAUAACUAACUUCUCAGAUUGAGGAAUACUAC
rnacentral:lncRNA from 1 species